GCGUUCGACCAAUCACGGAGCAGCUAGCGAACGCGAACCGCGGCAUUACUCGGAGCUUCUCGGCUCCCCUCGGCUCCCCUCGGUUAAGUGUCUCCCCUCUAUCAUCGUAUCGUAGCUCUCGCUCGUUCGCGGUGUUCACUGUGCCGAUGGUUCAGUCACACUUCCGCCACCGACCGGGUGCGAAUGUUGUUGUUCGUGCCUCGGCUCCGGUUCGAACGUACCUUUCUUAUUUUAUUUUUCAAUAUAAAUUAAAGAAAAACGUAUCGCACCUAAUCGUUGUGUAUUUCGGAUUUCUUGAAUUUUUAGUUUGUUUUUUUUCUCCACACAUUAUCCCGUCGCUACUCCGGCAUCCCCUCCCAACCCCCAAUCUCCUUUAUCCUUUUAUACGUAUCUUUUUAAGUGAGUGAAGUGUCAUCAACGAACAUUUUGUGAAAUAUAAAGGAAUACGUACGGGAGAUAUGUUGUUAAUUGACGCACAUAGUCGAGAAAUCUUAUAAAACUAAAUAGAAUCACAAUUUGCAAUUGGAUAGCUCGCGUUAAAACUGUUGAUUCUUAUGAUCACGUCCGAUAAUAUAAAGUAAAAAUGUACCUGUAGUAACUGUGGAGUGACAAAAAAAAAAAAAAGAAAUUCCUCCUUGAAAUCGUACAAUUAAUUUAUUAUAAAGCGUAUAUAUAAAAAUGUGUAAGUUAACGUGAACGACAAAAGAAAAGAAAGGAAAAUAACAA